rfam:Aedes aegypti strain Liverpool supercont1.742 genomic scaffold, whole genome shotgun sequence.
CCUCCCAUGGCGUAGUGGUAACGCGCCCCAACUAGAGAUCGGGGAGUCGUGAGUUCGAUUCUCACUGAGAAGA